rnacentral:rRNA from 1 species
GACGAACGCUGGCGGCGUGCUUAACACAUGCCAGUCGAACGGAAAGGCCCUGCUUGCCGGGUACUCGAGUGGCGAACGGGUGAGUAACACGUGGGUGAUCUGCCCUGCACUUCGGGAUAAGCUUGGGAAACUGGGUCUAAUACCGGAUAGGAACCAUCUUUAGUGUGGUGGUUGGAAAGUUUUUUCGGUGUAGGAUGAGCUCGCGGCCUAUCAGCUUGUUGGUGGGGUAAUGGCCUACCAAGGCGGCGACGGGUAGCCGGCCUGAGAGGGUGUACGGCCACAUUGGGACUGAGAUACGGCCCAGACUCCUACGGGAGGCAGCAGUGGGGAAUAUUGCACAAUGGGCGCAAGCCUGAUGCAGCGACGCCGCGUGGGGGAUGAAGGCCUUCGGGUUGUAAACUCCGUUCGCUAGGGACGAAGCUUUUUGUGACGGUACCUAGAGAAGAAGCACCGGCUAACUACGUG